UACGGAGGGUGCGAGCGUUGUCCGGAAUCACUGGGCGUAAAGGGCGCGUAGGCGGCCUGAUAAGUAGGGGGUGAAAUCCUGCGGCUUAACCGCAGGGCUGCCUUCUAAACUGUCAGGCUUGAGCACAGUAGAGGCAGGUGGAAUUCCUGGUGUAGCGGUGAAAUGCGCAGAUAUCAGGAGGAACACCGGUGGCGAAGGCGGGACUCUGGGCCGAUACUGACGCUGAGGAGCGAAAGCGUGGGGAGCGAACAGG
rnacentral:rRNA from 1 species